rnacentral:tRNA from 1 species
GGAAAUGUUAUUCAGUGGUAGAAUGCUUGCCUAGCAUGUAUGUGGCCUGACCUGGGUUCCAUCCCCAGUAUUACUA